rnacentral:lncRNA from 1 species
ACAGUGCACCGAGUCGGUUGCUGUUGUUGUUGUUGUUGUUGUUGCUGCUGUUGCUGUUGCUGUUGUGGUUUCUGUUCCGCCACCGGAGAGAUCGCGACAGCCGAAACAACCAGCGGAACUCCUUUGACUUCAGGGAGAGUCAGGAGAGGUACCUGAGAAACAGAUUCGACUGCCGUUGACGAAGAUGAAGGAGAGGUAGAGAUAGACGAUUUAGCCGAAGAAGCUUGUUGUUGUUCUUUAAGUCGGAAAUCUCUGUAACAUUUAGAACAAAGAUUCAUCGUCGCCGGACUUCCUAAGAAACCACAGUUAUUAACACAAAGACGGUGACCUUCCGGCGCUUGGCA